CAGCCGCCACGGUAAGACAGAGGAUGCAAGCGCUAUCUGGAAUGAUUGGGCGUAAAGCGACUGUAGGUGGCUUUUCAAGUCUGCAGUCAAAUCCCAAGGCUCAACCCUGGACAGGCGGCGGAAACUACCAAGAUGGAGUACGGUAGGGGCAGAGGGAAUUUCCGGUGGAGCGGUGAAAUGCGUUGAGAUCGGAAAGAACACCAACGGUGAAAGCACUCUGCUGGGCCGACACUGACACUGAGAGACGAAAGUUAGGGGAGAAAAUGGGAUUAGAUACCCCCGUAGUCCCUGUCUCUUAUAA
rnacentral:rRNA from 1 species